AUCCAGAUGACGAGUUCCGAAUGAGACGAAACGCGCGUUGUGGAU
rfam:Schistosoma rodhaini strain Burundi genome assembly, scaffold: SROB_contig0001698